rfam:Camelus ferus unplaced genomic scaffold scaffold513, whole genome shotgun sequence.
GGAGAUAGCUCAGUGGUAGAGUGCCUGCCUAGCAUGCACAAGGUCCUGGGUUCAAUCCCCAGUACCUCCA